rnacentral:rRNA from 1 species
AUUGAACGCUGGCGGCAUGCCUAACACAUGCAAGUCGAACGAGUGGCGGACGGGUGAGUAAUGUAUGGGAAACUGCCCGAUGGAGGGGGAUAACUACUGGAAACGGUAGCUCAUACCGCAUACACUCGGAUGUACCCAGAUGGGAUUAGCUAGUUGGUGGGGUAACGGCUCACCUAGGCGACGAUCCCUAGCUGGUAUGAGAGGAUGACCCGCCACACUGGAACGGAGAAACGGUCCAGACUCCUACGGGAGGCAGCAGUGGGGAAUAUUGCACAAUGGGCGAAAGCCUGGUGCAGCCAUGCCGCGUGUAUGAAGAAGGCCUUCGGGUUGUAAAGUACUUUCAGCGAGGAGGCGUUACUCGCAGAAGAAGCACCGGCUAACUCCGUGCCAGCAGCCGCGGUAAUUC